rnacentral:rRNA from 1 species
GGAUUAGAUACCCUGGUAGUCCACGCCCUAAACGAUGAGGACUGGCUGUUGGCGCUAUAGACGCGUCGGUAGCGAAGCUAACGCGUUAAGUUCUCCGCCUGGGGAGUACGGCCGCAAGGCUGAAACUCAAAGGAAUUGACGGGGGCCCGCACAAGCGGUGGAGCAUGUGGUUUAAUUCGAUGCAACGCGAAGAACCUUACCAUCCCUUGACAUCCUCAGAAUGAUCUGUAAUCGAUCAGUGCCUUCGGGAACUGAGUGACAGGUGCUGCACGGCUGUCGUCAGCUCGUGUCG